AAGAUCAAGAGCAGGAGCGGGAGAGUGUAAACACAGACACGAGGCAAAGUCUGUCUGUCUCCCCGACCUUCAGGAGAAGACCAAGGAGAAGGAGAAGAAAUCACCAAAUGACUGGCCCUUUCACUUGGCAGCGUCAACUCACCAUUCAGCCGCUGACCCCCAAUGACAGACUUCCGGGAGACUGGAAGGUUAGCAGAGCACACGUGUGGCAACCAAAGAGCAGCUGUUAAGUAGCAGACGAGACAUAGAAAGGUAUGAAUGAAUAAUCAUGAGUAAAAUACCUCACCUAGGCAAGCUUGGUGCAGCACCAAAAGAUGAAGAUACACUCAACUGGAAUCUCUGCAUACUGUGUCAGAGCCAUGACCAAAGUGGAGGCCUUAAGGUAUUACAUCCAAGAAUAGAUUCCUGUCAGACAGUCCUAGACGCAGUCAAAGAGAGAGUCGGUUUUAAGGGGCGUGCCUAUUUUUUGACGAAUAUAUUUGAAAUCGGACGAGUACAUGUUUUUCGCUCAGCGUGGCCGGGAAACCCUAAAUUACCAUGUGGUGAGGUUUGUUUUCAUAAAAUUAAAACCCCUCCCCCCAGGGGGGGCUUUAGAGUAACAGUCGGACAUGCGCGUCAUAAGACGCUCUUGUCAACAUAUGCGGUAUCAUUCGUAUAUACGUAAAAAUUGCAUUAGAAUAUUUUAUUUCUUCGUAAAUUUUGUCAUGUCAUCCUCUCUUCUUCACGUGGAGAGGCAGGGGAGGCAGAGAGGUGCCACCCCGCCAGUGCCAAGCGAGAGACAGACGGGAAAAGUAUGUCGUACUUUCCUCUCCAGCCAAAAAAAACGUCCUGACAAAUGAUGUACAAGCGCAAGGCAACCAGAAAAAGUCACCAACAUCAAGAGGGCUUAUGGAGCGGCCAAACCUCAGAAAACAAGCAAGAGCGUAGCGUAGAAGCAAGGCACUCCCGCGGCACUCGCGCUACCUGGCCACAAUGAGGAAGGUGGCGCCUUCUGACACCCUCACCUGCGAGUGAGUAAUACUUUCUUAGAAAGGGGGACCAGAUGCCUUAUGAUUCUGAGGUAAGUCAACAAGGUAUAUACAGUCAUAUGUGAGAAUUUCAUAUUAAUCAGAUAAAUACAAAUGGCAAGACAGGGAGAAAUGUAAAAAAAAUCUUUAGGAGCCGAUAUCUCGAAAAGUAUCUUUUUAACCUUCAAAUAAUUUCACAAAACCGGUAAAACAUCUAAAUGACUUUUGUUAGGUAUCAUUUUAAACUACAACUAAAGGGCGAUUUUUUGUUGGAAAUGGAUUUUCAAAAAUGUCAAAAGAAAACGGGAC